UUUCCGUAGGUGAACCUGCGGAAGGAUCAUUAUCGAAACUUCAUCCGGGGCGCCGCGCCCCUCAGCACCGGUGGAAACGCCGUGUUGUGGGGGCCGCGCGUGCACGCGUCCAAACCAAACCCCUGUGAACCGUACGGGAUGACCUGGGUUAGCGCCCGGUGCCGGUCCGCUUUAUAACAACACUUAUCAUAAAAUGAACUGAACGCGGUCUGACCGCUGGAUAAAAAAACUGAAACAACUUUCAACAACGGAUCUCUUGGCUCUC
rnacentral:misc_RNA from 1 species